rnacentral:rRNA from 1 species
UACGAAGGGGGCUAGCGUUGUUCGGAAUUACUGGGCGUAAAGCGCACGUAGGCGGAUUGUUAAGUUAGGGGUGAAAUCCCGGGGCUCAACCCCGGAACUGCCUUUAAUACUGGCAAUCUCGAGUCCGAGAGAGGUGAGUGGAAUUCCGAGUGUAGAGGUGAAAUUCGUAGAUAUUCGGAAGAACACCAGUGGCGAAGGCGACUCACUGGACAUGUAUUGACGCUGAGGUGCGAAAGCGUGGGGAGCAAACAGG